AUGAAGCACCCUCACUCCGCAGUGUUUUUAAAAAUUGCUUUAAAAUCAUGCAAGGAACAGCAACUAGGAAGUCAGAGGCCCAGAGUUUAGUACUGCUUUGCUACUCCCUAACCUCAGAGACCUCAGAAAAAUCUUCUAACCAUACCAGGCCUGUUUCUUUGUCAUAAAAACCUCCAGGUUAAACCAGAAUAUCUCUAAAUUUCCUUUCAACAUGAGGCAUUUUAUAGUGUCAUGAAUUCAAAUUGUUUGCAAAGAAAACACUAUGACAUCUAGUUCCAAGAACACAGAAGGUGGCAUGAGUUUGAACUAGGAGGUCAGUAGAGGGAUAAAAGAGAUGGUCAUAGUGGAGGAACUGGGGUUAUCCUCCCAGAAGAGGCUGAUGCGAGCUAUAGAACAAGAGGUCUGUGUGGCAGGAUGCCUAGUAAGAAGGUUGGGAUGGGUUCAUGGCUUUGGGGUAAAAGGUUGCAGGAAUUUGGGAGCUGAAUGAACAGGGAUUAUUAGGCGUUUGCGG
rnacentral:lncRNA from 1 species